UCAGAUGUUUUGUAGUAGAUGUUUUUCAGAGGGAUUCACGGACAUCCCAGAUCAUCCAUAGAGAGUAUAUUAAUGGGUUAGGAGCAUUUUAGAUUAAAAUGGAAGCUUACGUACUAUUUUGCCAAUUUAAGAAUAGCCAAGGAUUAACUUUUUCCCUUUUUUUGUUUGUUUUUGGAGAUAGGGUCUCACUAUUUUGCCAGGCUGGCCUCAACCUUGCGGCAAUCCUUCUGCCUCAGCCUCCUGAAGCUGCGUGCUGGGAUUACAGGCAUAUGUCACCACAGGUCUCUCUUCUUAAAAGGAAGCACAUCUACAAUAUGAGGGGCUGUUGUAGAAAUUAAGAGUGCAAAGAGAAUUUUUAUGGGGGUUAGAAGAUGUUUGGAAGAGUUGAACCAUAUGUGAUUGCAGUCGUUGUAGAUGAUAAAUGAAGACUAAAAGAAGUAAAGUGAUGGGCCAGGGAAUUAGCUUAGUGGUUCUGCCGCCUGCCUCGCAAGGUCCUGAGUUUGAUUCCCUGAACCAAAAAAGAAAGAAGUAAAGUGACAAUUACUAAUUUCUUAUGUAUGUUGUGCAAGUCGACUGCCUGGAGACAAGUACUUUUAAACAUCAGUGAUCCUGUUGACCCAAGAUGCUGCCGCACCAUCGCUGGGGUACAUCAUCGCUUUAGGGGAAGAAAAUACAAUUCUAGAUCAAAGUUUAUUUUUGUGUAUCAGCCGAAUGUGUAUCGCAGCAGUUAAACUUCAGAUUCUUACAGUUGGGGAGGAUGGGACGCCGAAGACCAAGCACCCGCCCUCUGUGUGGUACCAGGUGAGGAUUUGCUGUCUGCUUCUGAGGUGGCUCCUGGCUGCUGUGUCCCCUGAGCAGAGAGACUGCUGCGUCUUCAUGCCACAGAAGACACUCAAGGAAAAAGCUCACCUCUGCAAGUCCUUUCUAAGGUGAUGAUUCUGUCCAUGAGGGCUUUGCCCUUGUGGCUUAACCUCUUCCUAAAUGUCACAGCUCUUAAUAAGUUUCAACAAGUCAAUUUUUUGGCCUUUCAAGACCUUGGCUACAAUGAACUCAAUUCGUUUUGUAAGAGACUGUGUAAACUAGAAG